ensembl:lncRNA
AGAUUGCAUUUUCUUUUCUGAGUUGGCAGAAGUGUCUACUUAUGCAAAUUAAAACCCUUCCCAUUGCCUCUUAUGGGUGCAGAUACAUUCAGGUGCUUGUUAGUACUGCUCAAGUUGGAGAAGCCCUCAUCCUUGGGAUGUUGAACUGGCAGGGAGCAUAAUGCCUGCUAAUAUUGCCUCUGAGGCUAUAUGACACUGGUUCCCUGUAUUUUUAAUCCUGUUACCUGAAGAGACCAGAGAGUGCUGUCUUUCCUGAAGGCCACUGAGCACCACCACUCUGGGAAAUGACAGAAGGCUGAAUGUUUUGGCAAUCAAAUUUGGGAAGCAGUUUCUGCAAGAGGUCGGUGCUGCCUGAGUUCCCCCAGCAGAAGACACUUUAUCCCAUUACGAACAAACGGCAUUACUUACUGAAGGAGUUGAAUGCUGUGGUAUUUCCCAGUGUGCCACAUGGCUGCAGAAAUGAAAAUAUCACCUCUUCUAAAAUUUGCUUUAAAAAUGAAUGCACAAACUGCAAUCAAAAUAGAAUCAAAGGAAAAAAGCAAACAAACACAACGAGCUUGAUGAAUAUGGAAAAGGGAGAAAUGAAGGAGGUGGUGAAAAGAAAC